AUUGAACGCUGGCGGCAGGCUUAACACAUGCAAGUCGAGCGGGGUGAUGGUGCUUGCACUAUCACUUAGCGGCGGACGGGUGAGUAAUGCUUAGGAAUCUGCCUAUUAGUGGGGGACAACAUCUCGAAAGGGAUGCUAAUACCGCAUACGUCCUACGGGAGAAAGCAGGGGAUCACUUGUGACCUUGCGCUAAUAGAUGAGCCUAAGUCGGAUUAGCUAGUUGGGGGGGUAAAGGCCUACCAAGGCGACGAUCUGUAGCGGGUCUGAGAGGAUGAUCCGCCAGACUGGGACUGAGACACGGCCCAGACUCCAACGGGAGGCAGCAGUGGGGAAUAUUGGACAAUGGGGGGAACCCUGAUCCAGCCAUGCCGCGUGUGUGAAGAAGGCCUUAUGGUUGUAAAGCACUUUAAGCGAGGAGGAGGCUCUUUUGGUUAAUACCCAAGAUGAGUGGACGUUACUCGCAGAAUAAGCACCGGCUAACUCUGUGCCAGCCGCCGCGGUAA
rnacentral:rRNA from 1 species